rnacentral:ncRNA from 2 species
AGGACCCGCUAGGGGUGUUUUGGCUGAGAGCCCUGCCGCCGGGGGCAACCCUUAGAACCUGAUCUGGAUAAUGCCAGCGAAGGGAAGCGGGCCGGGAUAGGG